rnacentral:rRNA from 1 species
GUCAGCGGUCAUGCCACGUUGAAAGCGCCAGUUCUCGUCCGAUCACUGAGGUGAAGCAACGUUAGGCAUGAUCAGUACUUGAGAAUACCACGUGUUUUGUUUUUC